AUUGAACGCUGGCGGCAGGCCUAACACAUGCAAGUCGAACGAGUGGCGGACGGGUGAGUAAUGUCUGGGAAACUGCCUGAUGGAGGGGGAUAACUACUGGAAACGGUAGCUAAUACCGCAUACCAUCAGAUGUGCCCAGAUGGGAUUAGCUUGUUGGUGGGGUAACGGCUCACCAAGGCGACGAUCCCUAGCUGGUCUGAGAGGAUGACCAGCCACGCGUGAACUGAGACACGGUCCAGACUCCUACGGUAGGCAGCAGUGGGGUAUAGUGCACAAUGGGCGUAAGCCGUAUGCUGCCAGGCCGCUUGUAUGAAGAAGGCCUUCGGAUUGUAAAGUACUUUAAGUGGGGAUGCGUUACCCGCAGACGAAGCACCGGCUAACUCUGUGCCAGCAGCCGCGGUAAUUC
rnacentral:rRNA from 1 species